GCGGGUGUCAGGGCUAUGAGUGCUUUUAAGGAAGGUCUCCAUAGAAGGUUCCCCCAGCAAAGCAGGGAGGGGUACUCCCCGAGAGGAGUCGAGGUGCCGGAGCCUGCUGCCUCGCCGACGCUGGGAGGAGCCCCGUGUCCCGCCGCGCUUGCCAAGGGUUGGCUGCGCGUGCGGCGGGAGUAGAGGCGCCUUGCGCACCAGGAAGUGACUGUUAACCCGCCGCAGCAAACCAGGCCAUCCGCUGGCCUUUUAGUUUGCCGCCUCAGGUUUGUAAGAGGAUUUAUUGGUUACGAAGGAAGGUGGAUUUCAGUGUGUUCUUUGGAUGGCAGGCCUUAAGAGAAGAGUCCCACUGCACAGCCUCAGAUACUUCAUCUCCAUGGCUGGCUGAUGUUGUGACACCACUCUGGAGGUUGAGCUAUGAAGAACAGCUCAAGGUGAAAUUUGCAGCUCAGAAGAAAAUUUUACAAAGACUAGAGUCUUACAUCCAAAUGCUCAAUGGAGUCAGUGUGACAACGGCUGUACCCAAAUCUGAGAGGCUCUCUUGUCUUCUCCAUCCUAUUAUACCCUCUCCUGUCAUCAAUGGUUACCGAAAUAAGUCCACCUUCUCUGUGAACCGAGGUCCAGAUGGCAAUCCAAAGACUGUGGGGUUCUACCUGGGAACUUGGAGAGAUGGGAACGUUGUCUGUGUGCAGUCUAAUCAUCUGAAAAACAUCCCUGAGAAACACAGUCAAGUGGCGCAGUACUAUGAAGUAUUCCUUCGACAGUCUCCAU
rnacentral:sRNA from 1 species